GAUGAAGAACGUAGCGAAAUGCGACACUUGGUGUGAAUUGCAGAAUUCAGUGAAUCAUCGAGUCUUUGAACGCACAUUGCGCCCCCUGGUAUUCCGGGGGGCAUGCCUGUCCGAGCGUCAUUGCUGCCCUCAAGCACGGCUUGUGUGUUGGGCCUCCGUCCUCCUCCCGGGGGACGGGCCCGAAAGGCAGCGGCGGCACCGCGUCCGGUCCUCGAGCGUAUGGGGCUUCGUCACCCGCUCUUGUAGGCCCGGCCGGCGCUUGCCGACACAUCAAUCUUUUUUCCAGGUUGACCUCGGAUCAGGUAGGGAUACCCGCUGAACUUAAGCAUAUCAAUAAGCGGAGGA
rnacentral:misc_RNA from 1 species